rnacentral:rRNA from 1 species
AUUGAACGCUGGCGGCAGGCCUAACACAUGCAAGUCGAACGGUAACAGGAAGCUGCUUGCUGCUUCGCUGACGAGUGGCGGACGGGUGAGUAAUGUCUGGGAAGCUGCCUGAUGGAGGGGGAUAACUACUGGAAACGGUAGCUAAUACCGCAUAAUGUCGCAGGACCAAAGAGGGGGACCUUCGGGCCUCUUGCCAUCGGCUGUGCCCAGGUGGGUUUAGCUUGUUGGUGGGGUAACGGCUCACCAAGGCGACGAUCCCUAGCUGGUCUGAGAGGAUGAACAGCCACACUGGAACUGAGACACGGUCCAGACUCCUACGGGAGGCAGCAGUGGGGAAUAUUGCACAAUGGGCGAAAGCCUGAUGCAGUCAUGCCGCGUGUAUGAAGAAGGCCUUCGGGUUGUAAAGUACUUUCAGCGGGGAGGAAGGGAGUAAAGUUAAUACCUUUGCUCAUUGACGUUACCCGCAGAAGAAGCACCGGCUAACUCCGUG